rnacentral:rRNA from 1 species
UCGCCUGUUUAUCAAAAACAUCGCCUCUUGCAAAACUAAUGAAUAAGAGGUCCCGCCUGCCCUGUGACUAUAAGUUUAACGGCCGCGGUAUUUUGACCGUGCGAAGGUAGCGCAAUCACUUGUCUUUUAAAUGAAGACCUGUAUGAAUGGCAUGACGAGGGCUUAGCUGUCUCCUCUUUCAAGUCAAUGAAAUUGAUCCCCCCGUGCAGAAGCGGGGAUGAGCCCAUAAGACGAGAAGACCCUAUGGAGCUUUAGACACCAAGACGGAUUAUGUUAAAGACCCCAACACAAUGGGCCAAACUGAGUAAGUCCCGUCCUAAUGUCUUUGGUUGGGGCGACCCCGGGGAAACACAAAACCCCCGCGCGGAAUGAGAUUACUACCUCUUACAAGCAAGAGCUCCCGCUCUAGCAAACGGAAUUUCCGACCAAUAAGAUCCGGCCCCAAGGCCGAUCAACGGACCGAGUUACCCUAGGGAUAACAGCGCAAUCCCCUUUUAGAGCCCAUAUCGACAAGGGGGUUUACGACCUCGAUGUUGGAUCAGGACAUCCUAAUGGUGCAGCCGCUAUUAAGGGUUCGUUUGUUCAACGAUUAAAGUCCUACGUGAUCUGAGUUCAGACCGGA